rnacentral:rRNA from 1 species
UACGUAGGGUGCAAGCGUUGUCCGGAAUUAUUGGGCGUAAAGGGCUCGUAGGCGGUCUGUUGCGUCAGGAGUGAAAACUCGGGGCUUAACCCCGAGCCUGCUUCUGAUACGGGCAGACUAGAGGUAUGCAGGGGAGAACGGAAUUCCUGGUGUAGCGGUGAAAUGCGCAGAUAUCAGGAGGAACACCGGUGGCGAAGGCGGCGCUCUGGGCCGGUACUGACACUGAGGAGCGAAAGCGUGGGUAGCAAACAGG